rnacentral:rRNA from 1 species
AGAGUUUGAUCCUGGCUCAGGAUGAACGCUAGCGACAGGCUUAACACAUGCAAGUCGAGGGGCAGCACAGGUAGCAAUACCGGGUGGCGACCGGCGCACGGGUGAGUAACGCGUAUGCAACUUACCUAUCAGAGGGGGAUAACCCGGCGAAAGUCGGACUAAUACCGCAUGAAGCAGGGGUCCCGCAUGGGGAUAUUUGCUAAAGAUUCAUCGCUGAUAGAUAGGCAUGCGUUCCAUUAGGCAGUUGGCGGGGUAACGGCCCACCAAACCGACGAUGGAUAGGGGUUCUGAGAGGAAGGUCCCCCACAUUGGUACUGAGACACGGACCAAACUCCUACGGGAGGCAGCAGUGAGGAAUAUUGGUCAAUGGACGCAAGUCUGAACCAGCCAUGCCGCGUGCAGGAUGACGGCUCUAUGAGUUGUAAACUGCUUUUGUACGAGGGUAAACGCAGAUACGUGUAUCUGUCUGAAAGUAUCGUACGAAUAAGGAUCGGCUAACUCCGUGCCAGCAGCCGCGGUAAUACGGAGGAUCCAAGCGUUAUCCGGAUUUAUUGGGUUUAAAGGGUGCGUAGGCGGUUUGAUAAGUUAGAGGUGAAAUACCGGGGCUCAACUCCGGAACUGCCUCUAAUACUGUUGAACUAGAGAGUAGUUGCGGUAGGCGGAAUGUAUGGUGUAGCGGUGAAAUGCUUAGAGAUCAUACAGAACACCGAUUGCGAAGGCAGCUUACCAAACUAUAUCUGACGUUGAGGCACGAAAGCGUGGGGAGCAAACAGGAUUAGAUACCCUGGUAGUCCACGCAGUAAACGAUGAUAACUCGUUGUCGGCGAUACACAGUCGGUGACUAAGCGAAAGCGAUAAGUUAUCCACCUGGGGAGUACGUUCGCAAGAAUGAAACUCAAAGGAAUUGACGGGGGCCCGCACAAGCGGAGGAACAUGUG